rnacentral:rRNA from 1 species
AGUGAACGCUGGCGGCAUGCCUAAUACAUGCAAGUCGAACGAACGCAUAGUAAGCUUUCUCUUCUAACGGUAGCGGGUGGCGGGUGGGUGAGACGUAGAUAACCAACCUCUUAUACGUGGAGGACAUCGUGAGGCCACAUCUGAUACUACCUAAUAUAUUCUACCGCAUAGUUCAGGGGUUAAUGGCACUUUUCCUGUCACUUUUAGAUGAUGCCGGAUUAGAUAGUUGGCAAGGUAAAGGCACACCAAGGCAACGAUGCGUAGCUGAUCUGAGAGGGUGAUCGGCCACACUGGAACUGAGACACGGUCCAGACUCCUACGGGAGGCAGCAGUAGGGAAUAUUGGGCAAUGGGCGAAAGCCUGAUCGAGCCAUGCCGCGUGAGUGAUGAAGGCCUUCGGAUCGUAAAACCCUGUUAUUAGGGAAGAAAAACAGCGUAAGAAUACCCCGCUGUCCUGACGGUACCCAAAGAGAAAGCACCGGCUAACUACGUG